UGUGAAGUGACAUUGUCAAUACGUCGUCGUAGAGUGAGGCUUUAGACAAUUUGGGGGUAAACACAAAAGAACAGACCUUUCUCUCUCCGAUUGCUUCCCUCUCAUCAUCUCUGCAAACAUCAAUACCAGCAAUUGCACCCUCCAUUCUGCAUUUUAGCAAACGUGACUGUGGAUUCUGCGCAGUGAAAUUUACUUGUUAGGCCCUUGCAGUAAGGAGUUCAGAACACUAAAGGCCAUGGCUACGAGGAAAGUUAUUGCUAUAUGUCAAUCAGGAGGUGAGUUUGUGACAGACAAGGAUGGAUUAUUGUCAUACAGUGGAGGGGAUGCGUAUGCAAUAGACAUUGAUCAGCAGACGAAUUUAAGUGAUUUUAAGUCAGAGAUAGCAGAAAUGUUCAACUGCAAUAUAAAUACGAUGAUUAUCAAGUACUUUCUUCCUGGCAACAAGAAAACACUUAUUACAGUGUCUAAAGACAAGGAUUUGCAACGCAUGGUCAGUUUCCUUGGGGAUGUUAACACGGUUGAUGUGUUUAUUAUGUCAGAGGAAGGAGCUGCUCGAAAUAACAAUUCCAACAUGCCUGGUAGUAGGUCAAGCAGGACAACUGUGUCGGAAGCCGUUGUUCCUGUCGUUGCUCCUAUUGAUGUGAUUGUUGAUGCUGUCCAAUGCAUUGAUCAAGUAGAGGUUGAUGUAGCUAAUGAUGUCUCUGCACGUUCUAUUUGUUCUGGGGGUAAUGAUGACAGUCAUCGUAAAGCUGCACAGCAGUGGGAAAAUACCAUCACUGGUGUGGGCCAAAGAUUCAAUAGUUUUAGUGAAUUUCGUGAAGCAUUGCAUAAAUACUCUAUUGCUCACGGGUUUGCUUACAAAUAUAAGAAAAAUGAUAGUCAUCGUGUCACCGUCAAAUGUAAAUGUCAAGGCUGUCCUUGGAGAAUAUAUGCAUCUAGGUUGUCUACCACACAGUUGAUUUGCAUUAAGAAAAUGCACUACAAUCAUACUUGUGAAGGAUCUGCCGUUAAAGCUGGGUAUCGAGCAACUAGGGGUUGGGUGGGAAGUAUUAUAAAAGAGAAAUUGAAAGAUUCACCCAAUUACAAGCCAAAGGAUAUUGCUGAUGACAUAAAGCGGGAAUAUGGGAUUCAGUUAAAUUAUUCUCAAGCGUGGCGUGCAAAAGAAAUUGCUAGAGAGCAGCUUCAAGGCUCCUAUAAAGAGGCUUAUACGCAGUUGCCAUUUUUCUGUGAGAAGAUAAAAGAGACCAAUCCAGGGAGUUUUGCAACAUUCACAACUAAGGAGGACUCAAGUUUUCAUCGUCUCUUUGUAGCAUUUCAUGCCUCAAUAUCUGGUUUUCAGCUAGGUUGUCGCCCUCUCAUUUUCCUUGACAGAACUCCUUUAAACUCAAAGUACCAAGGGGAAUUAUUGGCUGCCACUGCUGUGGAUGGAAAUGAUGGCAUUUUUCCUGUAGCCUUUGCAGUUGUAGACACCGAGACUGAGGACAAUUGGUGCUGGUUUCUGCAGGAACUGAAAUUAGCUAUAUCAACAUCUGAGCAGAUCACAUUUGUUGCAGAUUUUCAAAAUGGCCUAAAAAGUUCAUUGUCUAAUAUAUUUGAAAAAUGCUACCAUAGCUAUUGCUUACGUCACCUUGCUGAGAAAUUGAACAAGGACUUGAAGGGACAAUUUUCUCAUGAGGCCAGACGGUUCAUGAUUAAUGAUUUUUACGCUGCUGCUUAUGCCCCCAAAUUGGAUACUUUUGAACGUAGUAUUGAGAACAUUAAAGGUAUUUCUCCGGAGGCCUAUGAUUGGGUGAUCCAAAGUGAGCCAGGCCACUGGGCAAAUGCAUUCUUUAAUGGAGCAAGGUAUAAUCUCCUUUCAUCAAAUUUUGGACAGCAGUUCUACAGUUGGGUGUCAGAGGCACAUGAGUUGCCAAUUACUCAAAUGAUUGAUGCAUUACGAGGUAAGAUGAUGGAAACAAUUUAUGCACGACGUGUAGAAUCUAAUCAAUGGAUUACAAAGCUGACACCAUCCAAGGAGGACUUGCUACAAAAGGAAACAUUAGUUGCUCGUUCACUUCAAGUAUUGUUCUCAGAAGGUAGCACAUUUGAGGUCCGUGGAGAAUCUGUUGAUAUUGUUGAUAUUGAUAACUGGGAUUGCAGCUGCAAGGGGUGGCAACUUACUGGUGUACCAUGCUGUCAUGCCAUUGCUGUCUUUGAAUGUGUUGGUAGGAGUCCAUAUGAUUAUUGUUCAAGAUACUUCACAGUUGAGAAUUAUCAAUUAACAUAUGCAGAGUCUAUUCACCCUGUGCCAAAUGUUGACAGACCACCUGUACAGGGUGAAUCCGCUGCUUUAGUUAUGGUAACCCCUCCACCAACUAAGCGCCCUCCAGGUCGGCCAAAAAUAAAGCAAGUUGAAUCAAUAGACAUAAUUAAACGUCAGCUUCAGUGUAGUAAAUGCAAGGGACUUGGCCAUAAUAGGAAGACGUGCAAAGUUUCAUAGUAUCACAAUUCACAACGUAGUAAGCAGCCCUCUCUCUCUCUCUUUGUGCAACCACUGGGGUGUCUGUGUAUGACUUCUAUGGAAUCUUUAAUCAUAUUGGAUAUCUGUGAGCUAUUUCCAACAACAGUAGAAAUUGAGAUAGUAAGAUACAUUGUAGUGGCUGCAUGGGAUUUGGUUUGAAUCUCCUAAAUUCCUUGCUGAGUAUAUAGAGAUUGUCAAUUUGUCAUAUUAGUCAGUUUUUCUAUUGUUUUCUCCUGUCCAAUGUUAUCUUCGAGGGAACAAAUUAAUUGGUCUUGAGAAGUAAAUAUAAUUUUGUAUACUAUUUAGAUAGAACAGAAUCCAAGAGUUCCAUAGUAGGCUUUCUUUCCUUGUUACUAUUUUCUGUUUAUUUAUUUAGUAGAAUCUAGUUCUGGGCUGAAGGCUUGUGUUUUUCUCAUAGAGCCAUCUUCAUGACGGGUAGAAGACAUGUACUUGUAGAGAUAUAUGUUGCAUACAAUACAAGUCUGCAAGAGUGCUCAUAUGAAGUGUCUUUUGCAGGCUUACUGAAUGCCAAAUUUAUAAUCAUAGGUGCUCUUAAUGAUU